UAUAAUCAACAUAUACAUAAAUUAUUUUAUUAUUAUUUUCUUUGUAGGUAAAAUGAUUGCACAUAAGUUUAAUAUAACUAAUCCACAAGAUUAUUGUCUCUUCAAAUUAGUAAAGGGGGAAGAAACACAGUUAGGUGACAAUGAGUGUCCUCAAACUGUGAAAGAAGAAUUAUCUGUAAGUGGAGCAGAAUGUGCAUUUGCUUAUAAAAGAUGUGAUGCUAAAUUUGUCUGGCCUCUUCUGGAAAGCAGCUGAACAAACUUGGAGCAUCUCAUAAUUGCAAAAAUUGAAGCUGAAGUCAAAUUAUAAAUAUGCAUUUUGAGCAAUGUAUAGUUAAUGUGUUUAAAUAUUAAUUUGAUUGUCAGUUUUCUCUUAAUCCAUAUUAAUUUUGGAAACAGUGAAUACUUUGACAUAAAUACAAAAAAGUAUCACUAUGUCUUUCAUACAGUUUAUUCUAAAACAACCAAAAAAAUUCGAAUUUUCAUGAAAAUAUAUGCCAUAUUACAGUCUAAUUCAGCAACUGUGGAGUGCAAGAAAUGUAUUUUAGAAAAUGUUUUGAAAUUAGGGAAAUAUGUGUUUUGCAUAACAAAGUAAAUGAUUAUUGCAGUGACAAAAAUAGAUGCUUGAUAGUUCAUGAAAUUUUAUAUAAAUCAUUCUCUCUUUAUUCCAAAUUCCUUCCUUCCAAUAUAUCUUUUAAUUUUUUUCUUCUACAUUAGAAUUGUAGUCUCCUAAAUGUAAAAUAUAAAUUUAUAUUUUCCAUGCAAUGGCAUUAUCCCAUUUGUAAUAAAUUUUUCAAUGGGAAAAACUAUUUCCAAUGAUAAUAGUAUCCAAAAAAUGUAAUUCAUAGAAAUGUAACUAUUUCAUUUUUAAAAAGUUUGAAAAGUUGUGAAAUUUUUAAAUAAGAUUUGUUUUGAAAUGCAAUAUACAUACAUACUUUUUUUAGAUGAAUAUCCAUUUCUUCAUUUGAAUUACCUCAAUUUUAUAAUUACAUUAAUUGUUUAGAUUUAACUGAUAGAUUUUUUAAUAUUGUUAUUUUUACUCUAUUUAAAAACAAUGUUCAGAAUACAGUAUUAUGACCAUUUGGUCAAAAUUAAUGUAUUAAAUUCAAAAUAUAGCACAUAUUUUAUUUACGUGUUCCUUGCAGAUGUUUUCUAUCAUGAGCAUUUGUUUAAAUCCUUUUUUAAAUUGCAUUAGCCUGAUAAUUAGUACUUAUUUUAAUUUUGAAAACAAUACAGUUUCUCACAGUAAUAAUAACAACAACAAUAUUAACAAAUGCAAUUUAGUUUGGGACCAUUUUAUAUUUAUAAUUGAUACAUUAAUGUAUUAAUGAAUUUAUGUAUCAAAACUAUGAAGAAAAAUGUGGUCAAAUUGAUGUAGUGUUUCCCAUUUAAUAUCUAACCACAGAAGUAGUAAAAGUGUUAAAAUACUUUUCUUAUGUGGUGACAUUCCACUUACUAGUCUAAUGUGUACUUAAUAUAUGUUAUAUUUUGCAAGUUUAAUUUAAUUGACAGUUUUAAAAUUUAACAGAAGUUUUGUAACUGUCUCAUAGGUUUACUUAUAUGUAUGUGUGUAUGUAUAUUCUACAUAUGCAUACAUAUGUAUAUUCUUUCUUGGGAUAACUUUUUUUAUAUUAAAAAAUUAUUUGUAGAGAAUUUGAAUAAUGUAAUGUGUAUUUAUAUGAAAAAUUGUCUUGUGUAAAGUAAUGCAUUCCACUUUUCUAACAACAUAUUGGCAAAUGGAUCAAAGCAUUGUGAACUUUUUCUAAUUUCAAAAGUAUUACUCAAAUAAACAGUAAUUAUUAUAAAUGGUGCUCAUAUUAAUUUUGUCACAAGCAGUACAAGAUAUAGUACUUAAAUAAUCAAAGAGCACAAUAAUCAGAUAUACAGUACUUCAGUAAGUAAUUCUUGUAUGAAACCACACCGUCGAAGUUUGUAAGAAAAUAAAAACUUUUGUUAAUUUUUGCACACACUUUUAUGUAAACAUUUAUUAUACAACACUAUAGGAACUGUGAUUGAAAACACUAGCAAGGUGCCAAAUCACUAUAGCUCUUGCAGUUUACGAUGCAACUGGUGAUGGAUAUCACUGUUCUCAUCCUUUAUAAAUACCACAAUUUUUCAGUAUCAUGCAUUUUUUUUAUGUCAAACAAGCAAACGAUUUCUUUCUCAUAAAUUGUAAAAUAUAAAUUUCAGUUCUUACAUUUUGCAUGAUUUUUGUUUCAUAAAUAUCUUCUAUUAUUGUUUUUAAUUUUUUGUGUGUUUUCUUUUGUACAUGUUCUGUUUUGCAAAAUGUAAUCACAUCAUGUGAAUGUCUGUGAUAUGAUAUUUGAUUAAUAUGAAAACAAAAAAUAUAUACAGCAAAAAAAAAUUUAUAAAAAAAAUUUAUUAACUGCAUUAACUGACUAAAAUAUUCAAAAUGAACUAUAUUAAAUAUUUAUCAUCGGAAAAAUUUCUCGUUGGAUGAACAUAUACUAAAACAAAUAGUAAAUAUGCAUCUUGGCUUGUAUUAUAACAUAUUUCCUUGAAUGGUUAUAUACAAACUUUCUAUUAAAAAAAAUACAAAAAAAUUAUAUAUAUAUAUUAUAUAUAUUGUAAAUGAUUCUGUUGCAUGUGGAAUGAUGGUAUUUUAUUGAUUUUUAUCAGUAUGUAUCAAGGCAUAUCUGAGAUUAUGUUUAAUUUAAAUUGGUUAUUUGUAUGAUCGAGAUCUUCCUUUAUCAUGCUCAAUCUAUGUCGUCCCAAAAGGGACUUUAUUAUUAUUAUUAUUAUUAUUAUUUAGGAAUUAUUUUGUACUCCUGUGCAGAGUAUAACAUCUUGUAUAUUUUGCAAGCUUUGAAAAUAUUAAAUACUGCCUUAUAUCAUACAUGA